rnacentral:snRNA from 1 species
CAGUGCGGGUGUGCUAACCCCUGUGAUUUCCCCAAAUGCGGGAAAUUAANACUGCAUAAUUUGUGGUAGUGGGGGACUGUGUGUGCACUCUCCCCUG